GCGCCGUUAGCUCAGUUGGUAGAGCAGCUGACUCUUAAUCAGCGGGUCCGGGGUUCGAGCCCCUGACGGCGCACAA
rnacentral:tRNA from 32 species